UGACUGCCGGAUGGCCACGCCGCACUUCCGGUCCCCUCCAUGGUCACAGUCCCCGCCCCUUUCCUUCCACGUGGUUGCGAGUUCCUUCCAGCCUCCAGCUCCACCCCCAGACUGUGACCUCACGUGAAGAUCCCCAGACAAGCAGGCAGAAGAGUGUUUUCUCCUCUGGCCACCAAGCAGGCACCCUCUGCUUCCAGAGACUGCAUGUGAUGGACGGGUCCUCUGGGCUGCCACCCUCCUGUUAGCGGAUAGCGUGGAGGCAGAUGGAAAGAGCCAGCCGUCUGUGACGACCCCCUUCUGUGUCACCAGGCUUAGAGGAUGCUCGAGCACAUGGGGCUGAUGUCUGGACCAGGGACUGUGUGUUGGGCGUGAAUUCUAAAUAAAGCUGU